CAGACUCCUACGGGAGGCAGCAGUGGGGAAUAUUGGACAAUGGGCGCAAGCCUGAUCCAGCCAUGCCGCGUGAGUGAUGAAGGCCUUAGGGUUGUAAAGCUCUUUCACCGGGGAAGAUAAUGACGGUACCCGCAGAAUAAGCCCCGGCUAACUUCGUGCCAGCAGCCGCGGUAAUACGAAGGGGGCUAGCGUUGUUCGGAAUUACUGGGCGUAAAGCGCACGUAGGCGGCUUUGUAAGUCGGGGGUGAAAUCCCGGGGCUCAACCCCGGAACUGCCUUUGAUACUGCAUCUCUUGAGUCCGGGAGA
rnacentral:rRNA from 1 species